AGUUUGAUUCUGGCUCAGGACGAACGCUGGCGGCGUGCUUAACACAUGCAAGUCGAACGGAGCUGUUUAUUUCGGUAGAUAGCUUAGUGGCAAACGGGUGAGUAACGCGUAGGCAACCUGCCCUUAGGAUGGGGACAACGGCCCGAAAGGACCGCUAAUACCGAAUGGACUCUAACUUUCGCAUGGAAGAAAGAGGAAAGAUGGUGCAAGCCAUCGCCGAAGGAAGGGCCUGCGCCUGAUUAGCCAGUUGGUGAGGUAACGGCCCACCAAAGCGACGAUCAGUAGCCGGUCUGAGAGGAUGAACGGCCACAAUGGGACUGAGACACGGCCCAUACUCCUACGGGAGGCAGCAGUGGGGAAUCUUCCGCAAUGGGCGAAAGCCUGACGGAGCAACGCCGCGUGAGUGAAGAAGGUCUUCGGAUCGUAAAGCUCUGUUGUCGGGGACGAAAGGGAAGGGGAGGAAAUGCCCUUUUAAGACG
rnacentral:rRNA from 1 species